UCAGCCUACGGGACGCAGCAGUGAGGAAUAUUGGUCAAUGGGCGGGAGCCUGAACCAGCCAAGCCGCGUGAGGGAAGAAGGUACAGCGUAUCGUAAACCUCUUUUGUCAGGGAACAAAGGCGGGGACUAGUCCCCGGAUGAGGGUACCUGAAGAAAAAGCAUCGGCUAACUCCGUGCCAGCAGCCGCGGUAAUACGGAGGAUGCGAGCGUUAUCCGGAUUUAUUGGGUUUAAAGGGUGCGUAGGCGGGCUGUUAAGUCAGCGGUCAAAUGUCGGGGCUCAACCCCGGCCUGCCGUUGAAACUGGG
rnacentral:rRNA from 1 species